GACGGACGCUGGCGGCGUGCUUAACACAUGCGAGUCGAACGGAAAGGCCCUGCUUUUGUGGGGUGCUCGAGUGGCGAACGGGUGAGUAACACGUGAGUAACCUGCCCUUGACUUUGGGAUAACUUCAGGAAACUGGGGCUAAUACCGGAUAGGAGCUCCUGCUGCAUGGUGGGGGUUGGAAAGUUUCGGCGGUUGGGGAUGGACUCGCGGCUUAUCAGCUUGUUGGUGGGGUAGUGGCUUACCAAGGCUUUGACGGGUAGCCGGCCUGAGAGGGUGACCGGCCACAUUGGGACUGAGAUACGGCCCAGACUCCUACGGGAGGCAGCAGUGGGAAUAUUGCACAAUGGGCGGAAGCCUGAUGCAGCAACGCCGCGUGCGGGAUGACGGCCUUCGGGUUGUAAACCGCUUUCGCCUGUGACGAAGCGUGAGUGACGGUAAUGGGUAAAGAAGCACCGGCUAACUACGUG
rnacentral:rRNA from 1 species